rnacentral:siRNA from 1 species
UGGAGUGAUCGAGUGAUGG